rnacentral:rRNA from 1 species
ACUAUCAUUAACUGAAUCCAUAGGUUAAUGAGGCGAACCGGGGGAACUGAAACAUCUAAGUACCCCGAGGAAAAGAAAUCAACCGAGAUUCCCCCAGUAGCGGCGAGCGAACGGGGAGGAGCCCAGAGCCUGAAUCAGCAUGUGUGUUAGUGGAAGCGUCUGGAAAGGCGCGCGAUACAGGGUGACAGCCCCGUACACAAAAGCGCAUGUGCUGUGAGCUCGAUGAGUAGGGCGGGACACGUGGUAUCCUGUCUGAAUAUGGGGGGACCAUCCUCCAAGGCUAAAUACUCCUGACUGACCGAUAGUGAACCAGUACCGUGAGGGAAAGGCGAAAAGAACCCCGGCGAGGGGAGUGAAAAAGAACCUGAAACCGUGUACGUACAAGCAGUGGGAGCACAGGUUUACCUGUGUGACUGCGUACCUUUUGUAUAAUGGGUCAGCGACUUAUAUUCUGUAGCAAGGUUAACCGAAUAGGGGAGCCGGAGGGAAACCGAGUCUUAAUUGGGCGUUAAGUUGCAGGGUAUAGACCCGAAACCCGGUGAUCUAGCCAUGGGCAGGUUGAAGGUUGGGUAACACUAACUGGAGGACCGAACCGACUAAUGUUGAAAAAUUAGCGGAUGACCUGUGGCUGGGGGUGAAAGGCCAAUCAAACCGGGAGAUAGCUGGUUCUCCCCGAAAGCUAUUUAGGUAGCGCCUCGUGAAUUCAUCUCCGGGGGUAGAGCACUGUUUCGGCUAGGGGGCCAUCCCGGCUUACCAACCCGAUGCAAACUGCGAAUACCGGAGAAUGUUAUCACGGGAGACACACGGCGGGUGCUAACGUCCGUCGUGAAGAGGGAAACAACCCAGACCGCCAGCUAAGGUCCCAAAGUCAUGGUUAAGUGGGAAACGAUGUGGGAAGGCCCAGACAGCCAGGAUGUUGGCUUAGAAGCAGCCAUCAUUUAAAGAAAGCGUAAUAGCUCACUGGUCGAGUCGGCCUGCGCGGAAGAUGUAACGGGGCUAAACCAUGCACCGAAGCUGCGGCAGCGACACUGUGUGUUGUUGGGUA